AACGCACAUUGCGCCCCUUGGUAUUCCGAGGGGCAUGCCUAUUCGAGCGUCAUUAUCACCCCUCAAGCCUAGCUUGGUGUUGAGACCUGCUGUCAAGGCAGUCUCUAAAAUCAGUGGCAGUGCUGUCAGGCUCUAAGCGUAGUAAAUUCAUCGCUAUAGACACCUGGUGGCCACUCGCCAGAACCCCCCCCAUUUUUUAAUGAUUGACCUCGGAUUAGGUAGGGAUACCCGCUGAACUUAA
rnacentral:misc_RNA from 2 species